rnacentral:hammerhead_ribozyme from 1 species
GUCCGGCUGACUAGUCCCAAACAGGAAGAAACGCGCGUCCUGGAU